GAUGAACGCUAGCGGGAGGCUUAACACAUGCAAGUCGAGCGGUAGGGCAGCAAUGCCUGAGAGCGGCGCACGGGUGCGUAACGCGUAUGCAACCUGCCUUAUACAGGGGAAUAGCCCAUGGAAACGUGGAUUAAUGUCCCAUAGGAUUACGGAUUCGCAUGGAUUUGUGAUUAAAACUGAGGUGGUAUAAGAUGGGCAUGCGUCUGAUUAGGUAGUUGGUAGGGUAAUGGCCUACCAAGCCGACGAUCAGUAGGGGUUCUGAGAGGAUUACCCACCAAACUGGAACAGAGACACGGACCCGACGCCAAGGGAAGGCAGCAGUGAGGAAUAUUGGUCAAUGGCCGGAAGGCUGAACCAGCCAUCCCGCGUGCAGGAUGACGGCCCUAUGGGUUGUAAACUGCUUUUGUACCUGAAGAAACCUGUUUACGAGUAGACAGUUGCCGGUAAGGUAUGAAUAAGCAUCGGCUAACUCCGUGCCAGCAGCCGCGGUAAUAC
rnacentral:rRNA from 1 species